CACAAUUUGCUAAAUUGGCUGAAACUUUUGUAUUGGUAUGACAGUUUGCAAUAUAGCUAUUUUGUG